GACGAAGGGGGCUAGCGUUGUCCGGAAUUACUGGGCGUAAAGCGUGCGCAGGCGGUUGUGCAAGACAGAUGUGAAAUCCCCGGGCUUAACCUGGGAAUUGCAUUUGUGACUGCACGGCUAGAGUGUGUCAGAGGGGGGGUAGAAUUCCACGUGUAGCAGUGAAAUGCGUAGAUAUGUGGAGGAAUACCGAUGCGAAGGCAGCCCCCUGGGAUAACACUGACGCUCAUGCACGAAAGCGUGGGGAGCAAACAGG
rnacentral:rRNA from 1 species